CAGUCGACGAUGAAGCACCAGCUUGCUGGUGUGGAUUAGUGGCGAACGGGUGAGUAACACGUGAGCAACCUGCCCCGGACUUUGGGAUAAGCGCUGGAAACGGCGUCUAAUACCGAAUAUGCACCAUGAAGGCAUCUUCAAUGGUGGGAAAGAUUUAUCGGUCCGGGAGGGGCUCGCGGCCUAUCAGCUUGUUGGUGAGGUAAUGGCUCACCAAGGCGUCGACGGGUAGCCGGCCUGAGAGGGUGACCGGCCACACUGGGACUGAGACACGGCCCAGACUCCUACGGGAGGCAGCAGUGGGGAAUAUUGCACAAUGGGCGCAAGCCUGAUGCAGCAACGCCGCGUGGGGGAUGACGGCCUUCGGGUUGUAAACCCCUUUUAGUAGGGAAGAAGCCUUCGGGUGACGGUACCUGCAGAAAAAGCGCCGGCUAACUACGUGCCAGCAGCCGCGGUAAUACGUAGGGCGCAAGCGUUAUCCGGAAUUAUUGGGCGUAAAGAGCUCGUAGGCGGCUUGUCGCGUCUGCUGUGAAAACUGGAGGCUCAACUUCCAGCGUGCAGUGGGUACGGGCAGGCUAGAGUGCGGUAGGGGAGAUUGGAAUUCCUGGUGUAGCGGUGGAAUGCGCAGAUAUCAGGAGGAACACCGAUGGCGAAGGCAGAUCUCUGGGCCGUAACUGACGCUGAGGAGCGAAAGAGUGGGGAGCGAACAGGCUUAGAUACCCUGGUAGUCCACUCCGUAAACGUUGGGAACUAGUUGUGGGGGCCUUUCCACGGUCUCCGUGACGCAGCUAACGCAUUAAGUUCCCCGCCUGGGGAGUACGGCCGCAAGGCUAAAACUCAAAGGAAUUGACGGGGACC
rnacentral:rRNA from 1 species